ACUGACAGCCAUGGUUACCGCGGCUGCUGGCACGGAGUUAGCCGGUGCUUCUUCUGUGAGUGAUGUCCUUCCUGCCGGUUAUUGACCCGCAGGCCUUCUUCCUCACUGAAAGUGCUUUACAACCCGAAGGCCUUCUUCACACACGCGGCAUGGCUGGAUCAGGGUUGCCCCCAUUGUCCAAUAUUCCCCACUGCUGCCUCCCGUAGGAGUCUGGGCCGUGUCUCAGUCCCAGUGUGGCUGAUCAUCCUCUCAGACCAGCUACGGAUCGUCGCCUUGGUGAGCCGUUACCUCACCAACCAGCUAAU
rnacentral:rRNA from 1 species